GAUGAACGCUGGCGGCGUGCCUAAUACAUGCAAGUCGAGCGAACGGACGAGAAGCUUGCUUCUCUGAUGUUAGCGGCGGACGGGUGAGUAACACGUGGAUAACCUACCUAUAAGACUGGGAUAACUUCGGGAAACCGGAGCUAAUACCGGAUAAUAUUUUGAACCGCAUGGUUCAAAAGUGAAAGACGGUCUUGCUGUCACUUAUAGAUGGAUCCGCGCUGCAUUAGCUAGUUGGUAAGGUAACGGCUUACCAAGGCAACGAUGCAUAGCCGACCUGAGAGGGUGAUCGGCCACGCUGGAACUGAGACACGAUCCAGCCUCCUACGAGAGGCAGCAAUAGGGAAUCUUCCGCAAAGGGCAAAAGCCUGACGGAACAGCGCCGCGUGAGUAAUGAAGGUCUUCGGAUCAUAAAACUCUGUUAUUAGAGAAGAACGUGUGUGUAAGUAACUGUGCACAUCUUGACGGUACCUAAUCAGAGAGCCACGGCUAACUACGUA
rnacentral:rRNA from 1 species